ensembl:misc_RNA Metazoa_SRP Metazoan signal recognition particle RNA
GCCAGGUGUGGUGGUGCGCACCUGUAAUUCCAGCUACUCAGGAGGCUGAGGCAGGAGAAUCGCUUGAACCCAGGAGGUGGAGGUUGCAGUGAGCCGAGAUCGUGCCAUUGCACUCCAGCCUGGGUGACAGGGCGAGACUCUGUCUCAA